UCUCCAAAAGUGUGUAGUGGUAAAAUGAUAUAUAUCAGACACAAUACAGUACCUACCAAUGUUUCUAUUUUCGGAGGAAACUUGGCAGCAAAAAAAGGGGGAAGUGUACCCCUUAUUCCUUGACGGAAUUUAGUUAGUAGCCGAUUUGUAUUUAUCCAACUUAAAUACGUAUUGUAUGUACAAAUAGAUAAAGUAAACAGCGGUAUAGAAAUAUCGGCCGCUAAAGUUAAUGUUGUUUCAAAAACGGGACGAAUUCAGGACACGUGUCAGUUUUCUGUGACUCUUGUAGAA